AGGGUUUGUGUCUUUUU
rnacentral:miRNA from 1 species